UGGAGGCUCUCCUCCAGUGUGGCUUCUUCUCUCCAGGGGUGCAUGUGCUCCUCUGUCAUUCCGCCGUCAGCUGUCUCUUUUACCGACUCGCUCACGCAAUCUCUCUUCUUCAUGGAUUUGGUUGAACAGGUAAUCAUUACUUGGAACCCUAGGACCUUUGCCUUCUUUCUUUCCUCUGCCCUACCAAACGCUGUCUACAAGCUCUGUUUCUUGGGUGUUUGCUUCCCCGCCGUUCAUCCAGGUUAGCGAUUUCCCAAUGGAGUCUCAAAUUCAAGAUCUUCAAUAAAUCAAUCGGGUAUGGGGUUUCUACCUAAUCUACUUUCUCUUUGGUGAUGUGAUUGACAGAGUUUCUCCAGCAAAGGUGGUUUCGUUUUUAUUCUGGGAACUAUAUCAUCUAUUUUGAAGAAUCAUAAAUGGUGGUUCUCAACUUGUUUAUGUGGUUCUCUUGUGUCAGCUAAUAAAAAUAUUUUAUCCUGUGAUCUAUGUCAACUUCAAUGCAUUGAUGCUGUCCCAAGGUGUUCCCGUCUUUAAUUUUAUUCUGUUUUGGUAGCUAAUUAUGAUUUCAAUGUUUACUAAAAUUUUUCUUGUUUUCUCAUGAUUUUCAAGAUUCCGCUUAAAGAUUGUAGUGCCUCAUACAAAUAGCAACAAUAUAUUUGUUCUUAAAGAUCGUGAGGUCGUGCAAAUAAUAAAGACAAGAUGCUCGAGCUUUUUGGAUAAUCACCCAUAGUUGAAUUAGGUUAUCAUGCAAUUGUGGUUUUAAUUAGUAUAUAGAUAUAGAUAUAGUUAGUUUGUAUCUUUUGACAUUCCUAAGGAAAACAUAAAUUAUUAUUAUGCUAUUUGUUAACUAUUUUAGUUUUUUUUUAGGGAUCUUAUUGCAAAGUUGUUCCAUUAACUCAUUUUAAGUCUUUUGCACAAAAAGUUGUAUUCAU